rnacentral:tRNA from 1 species
UGUUAACUUAGUUUAUAAAAAUAUUAGAUUGUGAUUCUAAAGAUAAGAUUUUCUUAGUUAACAG